GGUGAAAGAUGAUGCCACGAGGGCCACAUAGAAAGACACCUGUCGUGGCUCAUCCACCGUCGGCAGCCUCGUGACGGGGCUUCCAUCUCCCACGUUGAUUAUCCCUCGUACCACCACGCUCCCUCUCUCUCUCUCUGUGGUAUGUCCCCUUCCCUUCGGUCCUCCUUAGAAUUUAGAUCAGCUAAUCAAGUCCCAUCUCUGCCAUUAUUACCUCCAUCUGCCUCUGCCGCUUCGCUUCUCUCCUCGAUUUAAUUACGUACCUCUGCGGUCCUCCCUCCUUGAGGAGGAAUAAGGAGAGGAAUUAGGAAUGUGCGUUUAUUUCAUUAUUAUUAUUAUUAUUUGCAAAUGGGCUGCCUAACCUUUUGCUGUUGGCAUUAGGACAAACUAGUCUUUGUCAACCUGUUAUUGUUGGUGGGGGAGGAAAAAUUUGGAUGGAUCCGGUGCACGACCUCAACCACAGACGGAGAGGUCUGUGAUCGAUCACGUUGACACUGCGAAUUAAGUAUUUUGCAAGAAAAAGGGAAGAUGACAAGAAGGAGAAGAUGGUGGCCACGCGGUCCGAUGAAGAUUCAACUGACGACUACUUCCACAGGAGAAAUUUCUUCAGUCUAUUAAACCAGAAAAUAGGAUCCAGAAGGCUGGAAAUCUCUCUUUAUAGACGCUGCCACUUGCUCCUCCGAUGCAACUGGUGUUCGAUGGUGGCGGACGAAAGGGAAAGGAGAGGAAGCUUGGGAUUAUCUGGUGACUGGUGAGUACCAGAAAGAUAGCAGCAAUAGCUGUAGACGAAAGCGGUGGAUGGAUGUUCGAGUUUGGGAUACAAGGCAAAAUUGAUACUGAAAGAAUUAACUACGCUUUUUGUCUCGAAGCAUCGCAAGAAGAAACGAAUUCUCAAUUAUUAAUUCAUAAUGUCAAUGUGGCAGAUUGUAUAAUACAAUCUUGUAUUUUUAGGUUUUGUUCGUCCAACCAACGAUUCUCGUACGAAGGGUACUCGCAUAACCCCUCGUCUUCUACGCUUCCGUAAUCGCAUCAUGUGAUUUCAAAGUGGACUUCUCCUGUAAUGAUGGUUGAUGCACAUUAAAGUAAUUUGAAUCUUUUUCAUGCACAUUGUGAUUG